rnacentral:tRNA from 1 species
GGAUUGUGGCUCAGGGGUAGAGCACUCGCCUAGCAUACAUGAGGCACUGGGUUCGAUUCUCAGCACCA